rnacentral:lncRNA from 1 species
CACUUUUAGUUCUUUCGCCAGCUUGAGCCCGGCGAUGAGAGCCUCAUACUCGGCCUCAUUGUUCGAGGCCGGGAAUUCGAGGCGCAAAGCUUGCUCGGCCACCACUCCGUCUGGACUGGUGAGGAUAAGUCCGGCCCCGCUGCCCCCCGAGGUCGAAGACCCGUCCGAGUGCAGGACCCAUGGCUGCCUCGGGGCCUCCUCCAC